UACGAGGGGGGCAAAUGUUGUUCGGAAUCACUGGGCGUAAAGGGAGCGUAGGCGGGUUUCUAAGUCAGGUGUUUAAUCCCGGGGUCCAACCCCGGACAGGCACUUGAAACUGGGAAUCUUGAAUAGUGGAGAGGUCAGUGGAAUUGGGGGUGUAGCGGUGGAAUGCGUAGAGAUCCCCAAGAACACCAGUUGCGAAGGCGGCUGACUGGACACAUAUUGACGCUGAGGCUCGAAAGCAUGGGGAGCAAACAGG
rnacentral:rRNA from 1 species